AAUAGAUACCCAGGUAGUCCACGCCGUAAACGUUGGGCGCUAGAUGUGGGGACCAUUCCACGGUUUCCGUGUCGCAGCUAACGCAUUAAGCGCCCCGCCUGGGGAGUACGGCCGCAAGGCUAAAACUCAAAGGAAUUGACGGGGGCCCGCGACAAGCGGCGGAGCAUGCGGAUUAAUUCGAUGCAACGCGAAGAACCUUACCAAGGCUUGACAUAUACGAGAACGCCCUAGAAAUAGGGAACUCUUUGGACACUCGUAUACAGGUGGUGCAUGGUUGUCGUCAGCUCGUGUCGUGAGAUGUUGGGUUAAGUCCCGCAACGAGCGCAACCCUCGUUCUAUGUUGCCAGCGGUUCGGCCGGGGACUCAUAGGAGACUGCCGGGGUCAACUCGGAGGAAGGUGGGGAUGACGUCAAAGUCAUCAUGCCCCUUAUGUCUUGGGCUUCACGCAUGCUACAAUGGCCGGUACAAAGGGCUGCAAUACCGCAAGGUGGAGCGAAUCCCAAAAAGCCGGUCUCAGUUCGGAUUGGGGUCUGCAACUCGACCC
rnacentral:rRNA from 1 species